rnacentral:rRNA from 1 species
UGCGUAGGCGGGCUAAUAAGUCAGUGGUGAAAUCUCUCGGCUCAACCGGGAAACUGCCAUUGAUACUGUUAGUCUUGAGUUCGGUUGAGGUAGGCGGAAUGUGUAAUGUAGCGGUGAAAUGCUUAGACAUUACACAGAACACCAAUUGCGUAGGCAGCUUACUAGACCGACACUGACGCUGAGGCACGAAAGCGUGGGGAGCGAACAGGAUUAGAUACCCUGGUAGUCC